rnacentral:lncRNA from 1 species
AAGAUGGUGAAGCCAAAGAUGAGCAACUGAGAUUGGGGAACAACGACCGGCGAGCAGAAGCCCAUAGUGAUGGCCGGCUCCAUUCGACCAUGACACGAGCAACGCCGGAGCUCCGGCCUGGCUGCUCCUUCCCCAUGCCCGUCCUACUCAUCCUCCCGUGCUUCUCCACACCAAGCAUGAAGACCACACCAGCCAGGCUCUCUUAUGCGACGACCUGCGCCCGAUCCAGAAUCACAAUAUGUGGCGGCGCCGGAUCGAGAACGCGGGGAGACGCUGUCCUGUGGGGAAGAGAAAGAGGGUAACAUGGUAUAAAAUAAAGUAGUCAUUUUUCAUGUAAUGAAACUUUAGUUUUGGGGAAGAUGAUAAAAAAUAAAAAUAUAACUAAUGCAACAGGAGAACCACAUAUGGAGGCACUCAAGUGGACAGACACAGCAGUUCAAACAAACCCAAAAAUAUCUCAUUGUUCACCUUAAACCUUCAGAGGUUUAAACUGCUAGUUGAACUGAAAGGCACCGUUGCUAGGUGACAAAAAAUCAGUACGCUCUACAGUAAUUUGAUAUGAUAAAAAGCAGUUGGAUAAAGACCAGAUAAUGUUAUUAGCUAGCAAAGUUAGGGCUGCCAUAAAAAUCUGAACAGUUCCAUAAGUUGUCUCUUGAUAUUAUAUGAUUCAUAAAGGAACAUGGCACAUGAUUGUGCAAAAAUGACCUAUUGAUUCAGUGCCACACUACAGGAAAGGGGAUAUCAGUAGUCAUUAGAAUACAGACUGAUAGAAAUUAUGCACCUGAUAUUACUUACUACUUCUCUCAUCUAGCUGCAGCUGGUUUAGCAAAGAGAACCCAAUACCCAAAAUCAUGAAAUGGAUGUUCUCUUGGUUAGUAUACAAGACUGCUAAUUAUCUCUGUUGCCUCACCACAGAGCAACCAAGCAAAGGGCCAUGGAGCACCUCACAACAAAAGGAACCUGAAACCUAAAAAUAGAGGAAUGAUUUUUCUUGUAACAUGAACCAUCAAAUUAACUACACUCGCUGCACAGCAUGCGAUCGCCACCAUAGAAACGCUACCCUACUACUUAACUCUCUCCACAAACUACAAAAAAGCAAGAAAAUCAACCCAAACAACAUUGUAGGAAUGAUAUAGACAAGACAAAAGAAUCUCAACUUGUUCGCUCUUUUUUAGUUGAGUAACUCCUUCCAGAGUAAAUGGUCAAGCUGGCCGCAAGAAAGAAACACACAAAAAACCCGAGAAUAGUGCACCAACAAGAAGGAAAAUAAUCUACAUAUGGACAAACUGACAUAGUUUGUGCUUCAGGAACCGAAAGAUUUGGGGAGAGAGAGAAGCAUACCUAAUAGAACUUCACAGGCAUGUCAACCCCUUGUUUAUUCUCCAAUUUCAGCCCUAGCAUUGAAGGAAGCCCAACCCUCUCAUGAACAGACUUUAGAGUGAAGCUCAUUGAUGAUGGCACUGUUAGCAGUCAGAAACUGUAUAAGCGAGGUUAUUCCGCCUUCUUGGCCCUCUUAAAUAGCUUGUACAUACCUGUUUUAGAGUCAAGAGAAAAAAAUGAUAUCAACUAAGCAUAUCUAAAAUCCAUCAUAAUACAUACAAAGAAUGUGUUAUGUCUGAAAUAAAAUGGAACAUGCAAAUUAGAUAGUUAUUUAUAAGUUAAAUACCAUUUUAGGUGUGUUUUCACCAAAGAGAUACAGUGAACAGUCGAGCACGUAAUUAUAAAUUGAUAAUUAUCAGUAAGAUCUUCACACUUCUCGGGGAACAAAUAAAACAGGAAACCAGGUGGUUUACCUUGAUACAAAAGUGACCUUAUUCAAAUUCAUUUUCAGAUGACAAACACUAUAGUGGAAGCACCAACCCCAGCGAAAUACCAUCAAGAAAUGGUGCUACUUAAUCAUAGUAGAAAGGAUAAAAAUGCAUAUAACAAAACAAGGAAUAAUACCUGUCAGGCCUGCUCUUGCAUACCAAAAUAACAUGGCCUCUUGCAAAAUAUAGAGAUCUAGGAACGGCCCAUAACACCAAAAGAUGUAGCAGAGGAAGGUACCAAACUUAUCACAAGCAUCUCCAUUAUGACUGGAAUAUACCCUGGAAAUUAAUACAAGCUAGGUAUAUCACAUAUGCACCAUAAUAAUUUCAAAAGAAGUGCAAAAAUAUGUA